CAUCAAGGGGAGUAUAAGUUCGGUUUUAUAUCAAUGUUAUAUUGAUUGACGAGGAUGUUUUUCCUUUCGGGUUUUUUAUGUUUAUUUUUACUGGUUUGUUGUUUGUUAGUUGUUUGUUUUUAUUUUCGGCAUGAGGUUUGGUUAUUUUUGUGCUUAUGUUAUGCUAUCGAGGUAAGAAAGGGGUCGAUGAGCAAUGGGUCGGCAAAUGCCUGGUAUUAUAGGUUCUUUGAAGGUUGGAUAAAAGAAUGAAAAAUGGACUGCUGGUAGAAAUUUGCUUGGUGGCGUUUUUCAGUUUUUGGGAGAUUGGGUGUAGGUUCUUGCUAUGUGUAACAUAGCUGAAUUUUUUUUUUCUUCCCUGGAACGGAACGCCGGACUUUGCCAUCCUACACUCCGUGUGAGUGAAAUCAGCUCAUGCUUCUCGGUACGGUGUAGCAGCUCAGAGUGCACGGCCUGGCCGGCGUGGGGUUUUGGUGGCCACGUGGUGUUGGCCGGUGGUUGGAGUUGGCAGAAUUGCCGUUUGGUGGUGCCUGGUGUUGGUUGAACUGUGGUUCCCAUACACGUGAACGGUUACAGGCGUAAGGUGUGCCAGGUGGGCGUACCCCGUGGAGAAUGAGCUGCUGGUGAUGUUUGGCUCUGUCCGAGCGUGUCCGAGCGGGGUUUUCAUUAGUGGGUUAGGGAUUGUUGAUAAUAAGGGUACCAACUACCAGGUGAGACUUGAGAGGGUAAAUGGAGUUCAUGCUAAUGAUACCCAAUGCAAUGGUAUUGGUCUAAAAUGGUAUUGUUACCUGGUUAGGUUGGAGUGAAAGGUUAAGUGGGUGAUAUAGGUACGGAGGUGCAGAGGUGAUAGUGGAAACCACUUGUGUGGUAAGUCUCGGGAGUCGGGACUAGGAUAUUUUAGAUUAGAUGGGAAAUUAUGUUAGGUAGUUUGGUUGCACUGGCGAUAAUAUAGUAAGUUACAGGAUAGUACCCAAAGGAAGUUUUCACCCUCAUAUUUAAAGACUGCAUUAGGUAUGCCAUUUUCUAUAACGAUGCAGUUUUAUGGUAGCCCCUGAUUGUUUUGCUCUCACUCUACAUUGAGGUGCGAGUUAACUGUUUUCAGUUUUUUUAUGGUAGUGGCGUUUGUGAAUCGUUUUUUUUUUUUGCCAGAGUAAGGUGCCUUUUUGUCGUGGUCAAUAAAUAGAGCAUUGCCUAGGCAUGCAUAAGCGACAUCAAUCAUCAUGGUAAUGUUGGUAUGCAAUAUGCAUAUCCUGCCGAUGUGUCAUCGCGCGCAUUGUCAGAUAAAUGGCUCCAGUAUGUAUAACCCCUCUUGAUACCCCCCUUUGAUACGAGCUUUCGGCUAAAAAUGGUUAUGUGACACAAUCCGUUUUUUUUCUUCCAUGGCUCGGUGGGUGGUUGGCAUCCGACUCUGAACGGCGACGGAUCGGCACACUCGGCGGGGCCGGCCCGCUGGGCCAGAGUCUUCUCUGGCCGCUGGAGGAUUUCUUCACAGCUCCCACGUCAGCUGAGGGAGUUC